AACGAUCUUCCUUUACUAGGCGAAGAUCAAUCUCCUUCUUACACCCCUCUUCUCCUUUUAUCGGGUUUAAGAGACAACCCUUACAAGCACUCACUCUCCUCUCUUAAACAGAAUUUUAACACUUAAGCUAGAGGAGGGAUUUCUCAACUGAUUUCUACCGUAUUUCUUUCCUUUUUUGCUCUCUGUGCUUGUGUGCUUUAACCAGGGAUUAGAGGGGUAUCUAUAGGCUUC
rnacentral:lncRNA from 1 species